UGCUGGCUUGCUCUGCAUUCUUCCCUCCAAGUGAACCUAAAAUGACAUGACCCUAUGUCUCUGGACAAAUUUUUAAAUUUCAGACUCAAGGUGCCUUUCCAACUCUGACUGUUAAUUGAGUAUGUCAGUACUGCUCCCCUAAGGACAGCUUCCACAUGCAAUUCUGUCUCACUCCUCUGAGUGCUUCCACGCCCCCAUGUCAGGUUGGGAAUUGCUGCCCCUACUUCCCUAUUAGCCCAAGGAUGUGGUUGACACAGAAAAGAGGACACGAGCUGCCGGGAAAGGAAACCAGAGCUGCCGGACUCGUUCCUCCCUAUCACUGGGCUUCCUGUUCUGGGAGUGACCUUUGUACACUGAUGAGUCUGUGACAUUUGGAGCGGCUGCAGCCAUCCUGCAACCAUGAGGACAAUCCCAACAUGGUGGGAAUGGCAGAGCAGAAAGGCAGAAAGAACAUUGGACCCUGAUGACCACCUAACCACACAAUUAGCCAGCCCUGGAACUCUCUCUCCUCUGGACAUCUUGUUGUAUGAGAUAA